rnacentral:tRNA from 1 species
UGGUGUAAAAGGUUAACACGCUUGGCUGCUAACCCAAAGGUUGGUGGUUCGAGUCCACU